rnacentral:rRNA from 1 species
CGGGACGGGUGAGUAACGCGUGGGUAACCUGCCUUACACAGGGGGAUAACACCUGGAAAUAGGUGCUAAUACCGCAUAAGCGCACAGCUUCGCAUGAAGCAGUGUGAAAAACUCCGGUGGUAUACGAUGGAUCCGCGUCUGAUUAGCUGGUUGGCGGGGUAAAGGCCCACCAAGGCGACGAUCAGUAGCCGGCCUGAGAGGGUGAACGGCCACAUUGGGACUGAGACACGGCCCAAACUCCUACGGGAGGCAGCAG